GAAGAUGAGAGAUUUGUGGCUGCUAACUACAAACAUUGCAAAGAUGUAACAUCUUCU
rnacentral:tRNA from 1 species